rnacentral:rRNA from 1 species
UGGGGAAUUUUGGACGAAUUGGGCGAAAGCCUGAUCCAGCAAUGCCGCGUGUGUGAAGAAGGCCUUCGGGUUGUAAAGCACUUUUGUCCGGAAAGAAAUCCUUGGCUCUAAUACAGUCGGGGGAGUGACGGUACCGGAAGAAUAAGCACCGGCUAACUACGUGCCAGCAGCCGCGGUAAUACGUAGGGUGCAAGCGUUAAUCGGAAUUACUGGGCGUAAAGCGUGCGCAGGCGGUUUGCUAAGACCGAUGUGAAAUCCCCGGGCUCAACCUGGGAACUGCAUUGGUGACUGGCAGGCUAGAGUAUGGCAGAGGGGGGUAGAAUUCCACGUGUAGCAGUGAAAUGCGUAGAGAUGUGGAGGAAUACCGAUGGCGAAGGCAGCCCCCUGGGCAAGUACUGACGCUCAUGCACGAAAGCGU